UACGAAGGGGGCUAGCGUUGCUCGGAAUCACUGGGGCGUAAAGGGGUGCGUAGGCGGGGUUCUUUAAGUCAGGGGUGAAAUCCUGGAGCUCAACUCCAGAACUGCCUUUUGAUACUGAGGAUCUUGAGUACGGGAGAGGUGAGUGGAACUGCGAGUGUAGAGGUGAAAUUCGUAGAUAUCGCAAGAACACCAGUGGCGAAGGCGGACUCACUGGCCCGUUAC
rnacentral:rRNA from 1 species